CUAAGUAUAAGAAAAUAUAGAGUUAACAAAAAUUAAAAAAAAAAUUAUUAGUUGAAGGAAUGUGUUGUUUUUGUGGAGCUUUGAACUCAACUCUUAUCCAGAGUUGUUUAGUUGUACUUUGUGAGAAGGUUGUUGUAUCCUAGAGCAGACAAGUCAAGAAGAUUACUGCUGGACCGGUAAAAAUAUUUGUUGAAGUGGGC
rnacentral:lncRNA from 1 species